UACCAGACUCCUACGGGAGGCAGCAGUGGGGAAUAUUGCACAAUGGGGGGAACCCUGAUGCAGCGACGCCGCGUGAGUGAAGAAGUAUUUCGGUAUGUAAAGCUCUAUCAGCAGGGAAGAAAAUGACGGUACCUGACUAAGAAGCCCCGGCUAACUACGUGCCAGCAGCCGCGGUAAUACGUAGGGGGCAAGCGUUAUCCGGAUUUACUGGGGGUAAAGGGAGCGUAGACGGCAGAGCAAGUCUGAAGUGAAAGCCCGGGGCUCAACCGCGGGACUGCUUUGGAAACUGUUAAGCUGGAGUGCAGGAGAGGUAAGUGGAAUUCCUAGUGUAGCGGUGAAAUGCGUAGAUAUUAGGAGGAACACCAGUGGCGAAGGCGGCUUACUGGACUGUAACUGACGUUGAGGCUCGAAAGCGUGGGGAGCAAACAGGAUUAGAUACCCCGGUAAGG
rnacentral:rRNA from 1 species